rnacentral:rRNA from 1 species
UACGUAGGUGGCAAGCGUUGUCCGGAUUUACUGGGCGUAAAGAGCACGCAGGCGGUCGAUCAAGUCGCGUGUGAAAGCCCCCGGCUCAACUGGGGAGGGUCACGCGAUACUGAUCGACUCGAAGGCAGGAGAGGGUAGUGGAAUUCCCGGUGUAGUGGUGAAAUGCGUAGAUAUCGGGAGGGACACCAGUGGCGAAGGCGACUACCUGGCCUGUUCUUGACGCUGAGGCGCGAAAGCUAGGGGAGCAAACGGG